CAGUCGCCGUGCCUUAUGUCGGAGUUCCGAUGAUUUCCUGAUCGAUUUAUCCCUUCGAACCGAAGAGCACUGAGAACUAGGUCCGAUCCACAAAAUACAAAAUUGAUGAGGAAAUUGAGAUAAGCUGAAGAUCGAAAAGGUGAGUCGCAGCUGUUGAGACCGAACCAGAUUGGAAGGAAACUAACAGCAGUUUCUUGGCAAGAUCAAAAAGGACACUGAAAUGGUUAAACGUAUUGGCCUUACUUCACAUAUUCAGCAUCACAAARCUCAUCWGUGUAAACKAGUAACUUUGACUAUAUUCAGACAGGAAAUGGUUUCACAAGAGACUAUAUAAUGACCACAGUAGUAGGAAUCAUUUUAGAUUUGUACCAUCUCACUCAACAAUGUACUGGUAUAAUUAUAUAGUCUACACAAAACAUGUAGAGACUGAAUGAAACAAUCCUAAAUCCGUGAUUAUUGUAUUUUAAAACCC